UGAGGAAUAUUGGUCAAUGGACGAGAGUCUGAACCAGCCAAGUAGCGUGAAGGAUGACUGCCCUAUGGGUUGUAAACUUCUUUUAUACGGGAAUAAAGUGCGGGACGUGUCCCGUUUUGUAUGUACCUUAUGAAUAAGGAUCGGCUAACUCCGUGCCAGCAGCCGCGGUAAUACGGAGGAUCCGAGCGUUAUCCGGAUUUAUUGGGUUUAAAGGGUGCGUAGGCGGCCUUUUAAGUCAGCGGUGAAAGUCUGUGGCUCAACCAUAGAAUUGCCGUUGAAACUGGGGGGCUUGAGUAUGUUUGAGGCAGGCGGAAUGCGUGGUGUAGCGGUGAAAUGCAUAGAUAUCACGCAGAACCCCGAUUGCGAAGGCAGCCUGCCAAGCCAUGACUGACGCUGAUGCACGAAAGCGUGGGGAUCAAACAGGAUUAGAUACCCUGGUAGUCCACGCAGUAAACGAUGAUCACUAGCUGUUUGCGAUACACUGUAAGCGGCACAGCGAAAGCGUUAAGUGAUCCACCUGGGGAGUACGCCGGCAACGGUGAAACUCAAAGGAAUUGACGGAGGCCCGCACAAGCGGAGGAACAUGUGGUUUAAUUCGAUGAUACGCGAGGAACCUUACCCGGGUUUGAACGCAUUCGGACCGAGGUGGAAACACCUUUUCUAGCAAUAGCCGUUUGCGAGGUGCUGCAUGGUUGUCGUCAGCUCGUGCCGUGAGGUGUCGGCUUAAGUGCCAUAACGAGCGCAACCCUUGCCACUAGUUACUAACAGGUAAAGCUGAGGACUCUGGUGGGACUGCCAGCGUAAGCUGCGAGGAAGGCGGGGAUGACGUCAAAUCAGCACGGCCCUUACAUCCGGGGCGACACACGUGUUACAAUGGCGUGGACAAAGGGAAGCCACCUGGCGACAGGGAGCGAAUCCCCAAACCACGUCUCAGUUCGGAUCGGAGUCUGCAACCCGACUCCGUGAAGCUGGAUUCGCUAGUAAUCGCGCAUCAGCCAUGGCGCGGUGAAUACGUUCCC
rnacentral:rRNA from 1 species